rnacentral:rRNA from 1 species
UAAAGCGUGCGCAGGCGGUUAUGUAAGACAGAUGUGAAAUCCCCGGGCUCAACCUGGGAACUGCAUUAGUGACUGCAUAGCUGGAGUACGGCAGAGGGGGAUGGAAUUCCGCGUGUAGCAGUGAAAUGCGUAGAUAUGCGGAGGAACACCGAUGGCGAAGGCAAUCCCCUGGGCCUGUACUGACGCUCAUGCACGAAAGCGUGGGGAGCAAACAGGAUUAGAACCCGGGU